rnacentral:lncRNA from 1 species
CCCCGCUCAUUCCUGGAGCCAUUUAAGCCACACCCACAAUCUCGUUAGGCCACGCCCACCCAGAAAUCACACCCACAAUAUCUUAGGCCACGCCCACUUAUCGCACACCUUAUUUAGGCCACGCCCAUUUUUUGCUCCGCCCACACCUGGAGCCUUUUAAGCCACACCCAGUUCCAUCCCCAGCCCCUCCCAGUUCAUCCCAGUUUGUCCCAGUUCCCUCCCAGUGUAAACCAGUAAAUCCCAGUUUUCUCCCAGUUCCCUCCCAGUUCCUUCCCAGUAUAAACCAGUCCCUCCCAGUCCCUCCCAGUUCCCUCCCUGUCCAUUCCCAGGGUCUCCCAGUAUAACCCAGUUUAUCCCAGUAUCAUCCCAGCCCAUCCCAGUCCCUCCCAGUAUAAACCAGUAUAACCCAGUCCCUUCCAUUCCUCUCCCAGUUCCCUCCCAGUCCAUCCCAGUUCCCCUCCAACUCCAUCCCAGUCCAUUCCCAAUUCCCUCCAGUUCAUUCCCAGUAUAAACCGGUAUCCCUCUGUCGCUCCCAGUUCAUCCCAGUAUAAACCAGUAUAAACCAGUUUAUCCCAGUUCCCUCCCAGUUUAUCCCAUUCCCUCCCAGUCCAUCCCAGUCCCUCCCAGUUUAUCCCAGUUCCCUCCCAGUCCCUCCCAGUCCAUCCCAGUUCCCUCCCAGUUUAUCCCAGUCCCUCCCAGUUUAUCCCAGUCCCUCCCAGUUUAUCCCAGUCCAUUCCCAGUCCCCUCCCAGUAUAAACCAGUAUAUCCCAGUAUAUCCCAGUUUAUCCCAGUCCAUUC